CCCUUCGUGGUGUAGCGGUAGCACGCUCGGCGUGUAUUCGAGAGGUCCAGGUUCGAGUCCCGGUGAGGGAA
rnacentral:tRNA from 1 species